rnacentral:rRNA from 1 species
ACGCUCGACACCUACGGGGGCAGCAGUGGGGAAUAUUGCACAAUGGGGGAAACCCUGAUGCAGCGACGCCGCGUGAAGGAAGAAGUAUCUCGGUAUGUAAACUUCUGUCAGCAGGGAAGAAAAUGACGGUACCUGACUAAGAAGCCCCGGCUAACUACGUGCCGGCAGCCGCGGUAAUCUGAGCGGGCUGGCAAGGC